UACGGAGGGUGCAAGCGUUAUCCGGAAUCACUGGGCUUAAAGGGUGCGUAGGCGGUCAGAUAAGUCAGUUGUGAAAUCCCCCGGCUUAACCGGCGGAACUGCGAUUGAUACUGUUUGACUUGAAUCAGGUUGAGGUAGGCGGAAUGAGGCAUGUAGCGGUGAAAUGCUUAGAUAUGGCAUAGAACACCGAUUGCGAAGGCAGCUUGCUGGACCGGUAUUGACGCUGAGGCACGAAAGCGUGGGGAGCAAACAGG
rnacentral:rRNA from 1 species